rnacentral:tRNA from 1 species
GGGCCUGUGGUGUAACCUGGAUGAACAUAAAUGGCUUCGGACCAUUAGAUUGAGGGUUCAAAUCCCUCCAGGCUCA